rnacentral:tRNA from 1 species
UGGGCGCUUGGCUCAGUUGGUCAGAGCGGCUGGUUUACACCCAGUAGGUCGGCGGUUCAAAUCCGUCAGCGCCCAA